rnacentral:misc_RNA from 1 species
UUCCGUAGGUGAACCUGCGGAAGGAUCAUUAAAAAAUUGGACUCCAUUGGUGAGUUCAUUAAUAAUCCCUACCCUUUGUGAAUUUGUUUGUUUGAAUAAUUUUUUUUCCAAAAAAAAUUAUUGAAUGUCUUUCCUUGUUUUGGUGGAGCUUGUAAAGUGAAACCAGGCAGGGGAAUGGCAAACAAUAAUUAUUUUUGAAAAGACCUUUUUUUAAAAUUAAACUUUUUGUAUUCAUUUGUCUAAAAUUAAUUUUUAUAAUAUAAAAACAACUUUUGACAAUGGAUCUCUUGGUUCUCGCAACGAUGAAGAACGCAGCAAAAUGCGAUAAGUAGUGUGAAUUGCAGAAUACGUGAAUCAUCGAAUCUUCGAACGCAUAUUGCACUUUUUUAGUUUACUAAAAAAGUAUGUCUGUUUGAGUAUCAGUAAAAUAUUCUCAUAAAAAACAUUGUUUUUUUUAUGGUUAUGAGUGUUUUACAACGAUAACAAGUUGUUUCACUUUAAAUUCUUUGUUAUCAAAAAAAUCAUUAAAAGCUAAUUUUAAAGAUUUUUUAAAAUUGGAUAAAAUUUUCCCGUAAAAAGGAAUAACCUAAACAAUUUUAAAAAAUUAAAAUUGGUUUGAUUUUUUUUGAAACCCAAAGGAAAAAAAAACGAAAUUAACUUGAUCUCAAAUCAGAUAAGAGUACCCGCUGAACUUAAGCAUAUCAAUAAGCGGAGGAAAAGAAACUAACUAGGAUUCCCUCAGUAACGGCGAGUGAAGCGGGAAGAGCUCAAAUUUGAAAUCUUCAAGGUUUUACCUUGACGAAUUGUAGUUUAAAGAAGUGUUUUCUGUUGGAGUUUUGGUAAAAGUUCUUUGGAAAAGGACAUCAUAGAGGGUGAGAAUCCCGUAUUUGACCAUUAUCUCCAGCUUUGUGAUACACUUUCAAAGAGUCGGAUUGUUUGGGAAUGCAGUCCAAAAUGGGUGGUAAAUUUCAUCUAAAGCUAAAUACUGGCGAGAGACCGAUAGCGAACAAGUACUGUGAGGGAAAGAUGAAAAGAACUUUGAAAAGAGAGUUAAACAGUACGUGAAAUUGUCAAAAGGGAAGCGUUUGACACCAGUGUUGUUUUCUCGAAAAUCAAUUAAAAAAGGCCGGAUUUUGUGUUGUAUUGACUUUAUCAGCUUUCUGCACUCUUUUCUUGUCUUUUUUAAUGCACUUUUCGUUUAACAAGUCAACAUCAAUUUCUUUUGUUGUAAAAGGGUCAUUGGAAGGUGGCUUUCUUUUCGGAGAAAGUGUUUAUAGCCUUUGGCCUCUGCAAUCGGAGAGAUUGAGGUCUGCAGCGUAGAUCCUUCGGGGUUAGAUACAUUUGUGCUAAGUUAUAGCCUUUCAUAGACAACUUGUUGACUAUGAUCAGUCAUGUAGCUUACUCGCUUAUGCUAUUUUACCUACGCUUAGGAUGUUG